AUGGCGGAGCCGAUGUCCAGACUCACCAACGACCUAAUCGCGGAGAUCCUGUCUCGCGUGCCCUACAAAUCACUCUGCAUCUGCAAGUGCGUCUGCCCGGCCUGGCGCGGCAUCAUCGCCGACCCCGCCAACCGGAACAAGAUGGCGCAGACCCUGGCCGGCUUCUUCUACCGCAUCAACGACGAAGCCACGGCCGAGCCCCGCGGCUUCGACGGCGUCAAGUACGCGGAUGUGUCUGCCUUCCCGUGGUCGCGCCUUCCACUGCCGCCUGACAGCGUGGACUCUUUCCUCUCCCUCGAGGAUUCAUGCGAUGGAUUGUUUCUUAUCAGCAUUCACAUGGGCGCCCUUGCUGGAAAUUUUCGCUACAUGGUCUCCAAUCCAGCUACCAGUGAGUACGCUCUGCUGCCUCACUCUGGCUACGCCGGCGACUGCUGUCGGCCUUACCUAGGUUUCGACAGUGAUGUGUCCACUCAAGAGUUCCAUGUGUUCCAGUUUGAACUGGAAAAAUGGGUUGCGAGUGGAGUGAAGAUCUACUCUUCAAAAACUGGUGCGUGGGUGUCAAUGAAAAUCCAAUGGGGCAUCCAAGUUGGCUUUUGCUGGCGUCAGCCGGGAGUUUUCCAUAAGGGGUGUCUGCACUUGCUCGUACGUCAGCUUGGGUUGGCAAAAAAGAAGUUUGUGUUAGCAAUAGUUGAUGCAGAAGGGCUAAAAUGGAGAAUCAUCCCGCUGCAAGAUCUGCUGAUCCGAGUUUCUCGGGUUUUGUCGGAAAGUCUGCCGGACACCUAUUUUAUAUCGACACCGACGGUAUUGAAGGACACAGCUUCAAAGCAUUUUCGACUAUAUUAG
rnacentral:rRNA from 1 species